GUCUACGGCCAUGCCACCCUGAACACUCCCAAUUCCAUGUGAUCUCGGAAGCUAAGCAGGGUCAGGCCUGGUUAGUACUUGGAUGGGAGACCAUCUCGGAAUACCAGGUGCUGUACGUG
ensembl:rRNA 5S_rRNA 5S ribosomal RNA